rnacentral:rRNA from 1 species
UACGGAGGGGGUUAGCGUUGUUCGGAAUUACUGGGCGUAAAGCGUACGUAGGCGGAUUAGUAAGUUAGAGGUGAAAUCCCAGGGCUCAACCCUGGAACUGCCUUUAAUACUGCUAGUCUAGAGUUCGAGAGAGGUGAGUGGAAUUCCAAGUGUAGAGGUGAAAUUCGUAGAUAUUUGGAGGAACACCAGUGGCGAAGGCGGCUCACUGGCUCGAUACUGACGCUGAGGUACGAAAGCGUGGGUAGCGAACAGG